GCUCAGUAACACGUGGCCAAUUCACCCUUGGGACAGAGACAACCCCGGGAAACUGGGGCUAAUCCCUGAUAAGCGAUAAAGCUUGGAAUAGCUUAUCACCCAAAGGCCUCCAGACCAUGCUCAAAGAGGCGCCCAAGGACAAAGCCGCGACCGAUCAGGCUGUUGGCAGGGCAACGGCCUACCAAACCCAUAACCGGUACGGGCCGUGAGAGCGGAAGCCCGGAGAUGGAUACUGAGACAAGGAUCCAGGCCUUACGAGGCGCAGCAGUUGCGAAAACUCCACAAUGCACGAAAGUGUGAUGGGGCUACCCCGAGUGCCGUCCGCUGAGGAUGGCUUUUCUCUGCUGUAAGGAAGCGGAGGAAUAAGGAGAGGGCAAGUCUGGUGUCAGCCGCCGCGGUAAUACCAGCUCUCCGAGUGGUAGGGAUGAUUAUUGGGCUUAAAGCGUCCGUAGCCGGCUUGACAAGUCUUCUGUUAAAUCCAGCAACCCAAUUGUUGGACUGCGGAAGAUACUGCCUAGCUAGAGAACNGGAGAGGUCGACGGUACUCUCANGGUAGGAGUGAAAUCCUAUAAUCCUGGGAGGANCACCAGUGGCGUAGGCUGUCGACUAGAACGUGUCUGACGGUGAGGGACGANNGCUNNNGGAGCGACCCGGAUUAGAUANNCCGGGUAGUCCAAGCUGUAANCGAUGC
rnacentral:rRNA from 1 species